UGACGAGUGGCGGACGGGUGAGUAAUGCUUGGGAACUUGCCUUUGCGAGGGGGAUAACAGUUGGAAACGACUGCUAAUACCGCAUAAUGUCUACGGACCAAACGGGGCUUAGGCUCCGGCGCAAAGAGAGGCCCAAGUGAGAUUAGCUAGUUGGUAAGGUAAAGGCUUACCAAGGCAACGAUCUCUAGCUGUUCUGAGAGGAAGAUCAGCCACACUGGAACUGAGACACGGUCCAGACUCCUACGGGAGGCAGCAGUGGGGAAUAUUGCACAAUGGGGGAAACCCUGAUGCAGCCAUGCCGCGUGUGUGAAGAAGGCCUUCGGGUUGUAAAGCACUUUCAGUUGUGAGGAAAAGUUAGUAGUUAAUACCUGCUAGCCGUGACGUUAACAACAGAAGAAGCACCGGCUAACUCCGUGCCAGCAGCCGCGGUAAUACGGAGGGUGCGAGCGUUAAUCGGAAUUACUGGGCGUAAAGCGCACGCAGGCGGUUUGUUAAGCUAGAUGUGAAAGCCCCGGGCUCAACCUGGGAUGGUCAUUUAGAACUGGCAGACUAGAGUCUUGGAGAGGGGAGUGGAAUUCCAGGUGUAGCGGUGAAAUGCGUAGAUAUCUGGAGGAACAUCAGUGGCGAAGGCGACUCCCUGGCCAAAGACUGACGCUCAUGUGCGAAAGUGUGGGUAGCGAACAGGAUUAGAUACCCUGGUAGUCCACACCGUAAACGCUGUCUACUAGCUGUUUGUGACUUUAAGUCGUGAGUAGCGAAGCUAACGCGCUAAGUAGACCGCCUGGGGAGUACGGCCGCAAGGUUAAAACUCAAAUGAAUUGACGGGGGCCCGCACAAGCGGUGGAGCAUGUGGUUUAAUUCGAUGCAACG
rnacentral:rRNA from 2 species